GCUUCGGCGGGUCGAUCCGGGCG
rnacentral:siRNA from 1 species